AGCAGCCGCGGUAAUUCCAGCUCCAAUAGCGUAUAUUAAAGUUGUUGCAGUUAAAAAGCUCGUAGUUGAAUUUCGGGAUUAGUACGUUGGUCGUGCCUUCGGUACGUACUGGUGUUACUGGUUCCUACCUUCUGACGAACCAUCAUGUCAUUAAUUUGGUGUGGCGGGGAAUCAGGACUGUUACUUUGAAAAAAUUAGAGUGUUUAAAGCAGGCUCGCGCUUGAAUACAUUAGCAUGGAAUAAUGAAAUAGGACGUUGACCCUAUUUUGUUGGUUUCUAGGAUUGACGUAAUGAUUAAUAGGGAUAGUUGGGGGCAUUAGUAUUCAAUUGUCAGAGGUGAAAUUCUUGGAUUUAUUGAAGACUAGCUACUGCGAAAGCAUUUGCCAAGGAUGUUUUCAUUAAUCAAGAACGAAAGUUAGGGGAUCGAAGACGAUCAGAUACCGUCGUAGUCUUAACCAUAAACUAUGCCGACUAGGGAUCGGAUGAUGUUAUUUUUAAUGACUCA
rnacentral:rRNA from 1 species